rnacentral:lncRNA from 1 species
AUGAGUUCAAUCCUAGCUAAUUCUCAACUCUAAUCAACCUCUCACCAACACGAAUAAAAUACCUGAUUACAAUACGAGACAGAGAGAAUUUAGUUUCGCAUUAUCUAAGCCAAAUACAAAUUACAUGAAAUAGGCUUUUGCUUACAGAGAAGCGCUAUUGGCCCGGCAAGCGGGUGAAAUUUUCUCGCGGGUUGUCUCGCUAACCGGCAUGGCCAGCCCGGUUUCCAUAUAAACAGCCCCUAAGACCAGCCAUUUGCCAAUCUAUUUGGCAUGACUUGUGUUUGUGAAUGAUGUAUACCAAUUAAUGACUUGCUAUCAAUGCUAUGGAUAUGUUCAUCAUGCUGAGAAUGGUUAAGCCAACAAAACACCUCGCAAUGUGAGAAACGUCUUGUCUUUGAAAUGAAAGCUCAUUCCAGAUAGCUUUAUUUUCGACUUUAUUUUUUUUUACAAUAUAGGACCGCUAUUUUCGAAACAUGCUGGCUAUGUGAUUUUUAUAUGAUCACGAUUUGCAAUUUUCACCAAUGAUCACGAUUUGCAAUUGUAUUAAAAUCUUUACUAAUUUCUAUAUUCAUAGUCUCAUCCGACAUAGAGAAUUCAUUGAGCCAUCACGGCACCCUACUGUGUGAUUGACUUUCAAAAUUCCUUCCAGACUCUUAAUUUCACAAAGUAAGGUCAUCCAACUGCUAACCAAUCUUGCUAUGUUUUAUAUUUCAUAUAUCAAGGACUUGUUAUUUAUAUAUAUAUAUAUUUUUUUUUUUUUUAAUCACUUUUUUGCAAAAAUAAAAUAUUUACAUUGGCAAAAGGUGGCCGCACAGGACAUAGUCCCAAUUGAUUACAGCUACCAUUUAACUAUACUAUAUAGUACAUAAUACUGAAAAUAGUGGUUACGCCAGCAUGACACCUCGCAGUGUGCAUAAGAUUGUCUUUUGAAAUGAAGGCUCGAUCAUUCCAAGUAUUCCAGAUAGCUUUAUUUUCGUAAAAUAAGACCGCCAUUUCCGAAACUUACUGGCUAUCUCAUUGGUUUUUCUAUACCAAUGAUCAUGAUUUGCAAUUGUAUUAAAAUGUUUUUAAAACAAUUCCUAUUCAUAGUCUCNNNNNNNNNNNNNNNNNNNNCACCUCGCAAUGUGAGAAACGUCUUGUCUUUGAAAUGAAAGCUCAUUCCAGAUAGCUUUAUUUUCGACUUUAUUUUUUUUUACAAUAUAGGACCGCUACUUUCGAAACAUGCUGGCUAUGUGAUUUUUAUAUGAUCACGAUUUGCAAUUUUCACCAAUGAUCACGAUUUGCAAUUGUAUUAAAAUCUUUACUAAUUUCUAUAUUCAUAGUCUCAUCCGACAUAGAGAAUUCAUUGAGCCAUCACGGCACCCUACUGUGUGAUUGACUUUCAAAAUUCCUUCCAGACUCUUAAUUUCACAAAGUAAGGUCAUCCAACUGCUAACCAAUCUUGCUAUGUUUUAUAUUUCAUAUAUCAAGGACUUGUUAUUUAUAUAGUACAUAAUACUGAAAAUAGUGGUUACGCCAGCAUGACACCUCGCAGUGUGCAUAAGAUUGUCUUUUGAAAUGAAGGCUCGAUCAUUCCAAGUAUUCCAGAUAGCUUUAUUUUCGUAAAAUAAGACCGCCAUUUCCGAAACUUACUGGCUAUCUCAUUGGUUUUUCUAUACCAAUGAUCAUGAUUUGCAAUUGUAUUAAAAUGUUUUUAAAACAAUUCCU